AGCGGAUUUAGAUUGGGAUUAUCGGGAUAAAUUCGCUUGGAAAAGGUUGAAUAUAUCUGAUUGUUGUCGUGAUUAAAAAUGUUUUUUUACAAAUUUUAAUUUCCAUCCACGAUUCAUAGGAUUUUGAUCAGACUUUUAAUAAUUUUUAAUCGGGAAUGGUCCUGUCAAGGACGACAGUAAAAAUCGUGAAUGUGUGACCCCAGCUUAAGAAAUGAUAAAAUGAUAAAAUGAAAUAGCAAAAAAUACCAAUUAUCAAGGAAAUUUCAAUACGGAAAGUCCUGUAUCAAAUUGAAAAAUCAAACAGUCAAACACAUCAAAUGAAUGGAGAACAACUGUCAUAUUCCUGGCUUGGUACAAGUAUAUCCUUGGUAGAAAAUGGCGGAUUUAACCUGGUUUUAGAGGUUUUUUAGCUAGUUAAACCUCUCACUUUUAUGACAGUCACAUAGAAAACCAUGCUUGUAGCAGGUGUGUUUUUAAUCUCAUUAUCAAUUGAUUCCGAUUUCCUAUUUCAUUUAAAAGUUCUAUUUUCUAUCUACCUCCAUCAAUAAAAACUCGGCAUAUUCAUUAAGCAAAGAGUCAGAAAAUUUCGUUUAAACACC
rnacentral:lncRNA from 1 species